UACGGGGGGGGCAAGCGUUGUUCGGAAUUACUGGGCGUAAAGGGCUCGUAGGCGGCCAACUAAGUCCGACGUGAAAUCCCCAGGCUUAACCUGGGAACUGCGUCGGAUACUGGAUGGCUUGAAUUCGGGAGAGGGAUGCAGAAUUCCAGGUGUAGAGGUGAAAUUCGUAGAUAUUCGCAAGAACACCAGUGGCGAAGGCGGCUCACUGGCCCGGAACUGACGCUGAGACGCGAAAGCGUGGGGAGCAAACAGG
rnacentral:rRNA from 1 species